AUUCAAGAAAAGGAUCCAAGUCCAACCUUAAGUUUUCUUUAACCCCUAAUAAUAUCUUAAACUUAAGAGCCACUCAAAUAGGGUACAGCCUAUUUGAAACAGGGCACAACCUAGAACACAGGGUAAUGACUUUUUCACGUGACCAAGUAGGCCUGAAAGCAGCCACCUUUAAAAAAGCGUUAAAGCCUAACCACCUCCACCAUAAAAUACCAUUUAUUCCCCAAAACCCUUAACCCCUAUUGAAUUAUUCCAUAUUUUAUGGAAAAACUCAUGCUAGAACUAGUAACAAGAAAAGAAUUUCUCCAAAAUGUAAGCAAAAGCCUUUAUGAACCCUCAUCGGCAUUCAAAGUAAAUGAACCCAAAGUAAUAACUUCCAAGAGAAUCUUACUAACUUUAACGUCAACCUUACACCAGAACACUACCGGAAAGAUUAAAAAAAGAGGAAGGAACUCGGCAAACCAUAACCCCGCCUGUUUACCAAAAACAUCGCCUCCCGACCCCAUGGGAGGUCCAGCCUGCCCAGUGAUAAUUAUUAAACGGCCGCGGUACCCUAACCGUGCGAAGGUAGCGCAAUCACUUGUUUCCUAAAUAGGGACUAGUAUGAACGGCAUCACGAGGGUUACACUGUCUCCCUCUUUCAAUCAGUGAAACUGAUCUCCCCGUGAAGAAGCGGGGAUAGACCUAUAAGACGAGAAGACCCCAUGGAGCUUUAAACUCAACAUCUAACUAUUUUUACCACACCAUGUUAACUAAAUAGCCCUGAAUGCUAGUUUUUGGUUGGGGCGACCGCGGAGUAAAAUUAAACCUCCACGACGAAAGGAAACCACCCUAAUCUAAGAGCCACAGCUCGACCAAUCAACAAAUUGACGUUUAUUGACCCAAUUAUUUGAUCAACGAACCUAGUUACCCUGGGGAUAACAGCGCAAUCCACUUCAAGAGCUCCUAUCGACAAGUGGGUUUACGACCUCGAUGUUGGAUCAGGGUAUCCUAGUGGUGCAGCCGCUACUAAAGGUUCGUUUGUUCAACGAUUAAAACCCU
rnacentral:rRNA from 1 species